AGCGCUCUGAAAUCCACCCGGCUGCUAACGUUUGACCUGGCAGCUGUCUUUUGUCUCUUUGUGAUGAAGAUUUUCUAAGACUUCUGAAUGUGGAUCAACUGAAGGACUCUGAACUAUCCUAUCUUUGCCUUAGUGUGUAGAAAAAGAAGGAACAGUGUUUGACUCCCAGGGCAGAAUAAGUACAACCAACUGAAAAAAAGGUAGUCCCUACUCGCAGGCUGAAGAUUGUAAUGCUACAAAAGGACAAAGGGGUGAGUGAAGAAGAAAAAGACAGACCUCUGUGCCCAUCCUUAAAGUCAAACAGACGAUCUAAGAAAUUCAUAAAAUUUAUUCAAGUCAGACCCUGCUUUCUCUUUGAGACAUCCCAAUGAUGACUUGGCAUCUACUUUCUAGAUUUCUAGAUAAAAAAUGUGUAAACACCUUUGAAAUGGGCACCUUUCAUGACUGUAAAAUUAUCCUAAAUCUAGGAAUGUAGCUUUUCCCAAUGAAGCUUCAUUUCCCUGUA